AUUGAACGCUGGCGGCAUGCUUUACACAUGCAAGUCGAACGGUAACAGGCCUUCGGGUGCUGACGAGUGGCGAACGGGUGAGUAAUGCAUCGGAACGUACCCAGAGGUGGGGGAUAACGCAGGGAAAGCUGUGCUAAUACCGCAUGUGAUCUGAGGAUGAAAGCGGGGGACCGAGCAGCAAUGUUUGGCCUCGCGCCUUUGGAGCGGCCGAUGUCGGAUUAGCUAGUUGGUGGGGUAAAGGCCUACCAAGGCGACGAUCCGUAGCUGGUCUGAGAGGACGACCAGCCACACUGGGACUGAGACACGGCCCAGACUCCUACGGGAGGCAGCAGUGGGGAAUUUUGGACAAUGGGCGCAAGCCUGAUCCAGCAAUGCCGCGUGCGGGAAGAAGGCCUUCGGGUUGUAAACCGCUUUUGGCAGGAACGAAACGGUGUCCGCUAAUACCGGGCGCUAAUGACGGUACCUGCAGAAUAAGCACCGGCUAACUACGUG
rnacentral:rRNA from 1 species